GCCUUGAUGGUCUAGCGGUAUGAUUCUCGCUUAGGGAUUUACUCUGAGUACAAUUUGCGAGAGGUCCCCGGUUCAAUCCCGGGUCAAGGCC